rnacentral:lncRNA from 1 species
CUUGAGAUGAUACUUCUAAUUAAUGAAAAUCGUAAUCACGGCUGUAUAAUGGGACCAUGGUUAUUUGUUACCUGUAAGCAGUAUGCUUCUACUGUCUUCUCCAUGUUGCAUUUUUUGGUUGUGUUGCCCUAUGGACUUAUUUUAUUGCAGGCUAAUUAUGCUGGCAAGUGGUUUGCGUAACAUAAGUCACAAAACUACAAAGAUCACAACAUUCGGGUUGCUUUGUUAUUCACCCGGGUCUUACUCUGAGUUGAGGUAUAAUCUAUUUAUACUCUGCUUGUAUUUAUAUACCUGCAAAGAAACGAGAAAGCUUGUGGCUGAAUAUGAGUUUUGCUAGGGCUUGUUUGAUAGAAUUUAUUUGGGAAUAAUGAGUUAUUGAAUAGUAUUUUUGGAGAAUGUGUGAUUAAAAAGUAAAGAAAUUUUAUUGGUUUAUGUGUAGAAUAUUUUAUUGUGUGAAUGUGUAGUGGAGAAUGAUCGUGUAGCAAAUAAUUUAAAUUUUUAAAGGAUGACAAACAGAGCCCCCCAUAUGUUAUUUCCUACAGUCAGCCUCUUGCAAACUGUGUUAUCACAACAGCAUUUUAGUUGAGUGCAUUAACUAUUGGUCUGUUUUAGUUUUCCUUAUUCUACAUUCUUAUUCAAUUUCUUGAUAUUUGUACAAUUGCAUUCUUCAGGAAGCUGGAUACGAUCUCAAUAACAUUGAUCUGGACGGUCAGCAUAAAGAGAAUAUUCACAUUUUGUCAAUAAAUUUGGUGGGAUAUUGUUGAAUUUGGGACAACUAAACACUAAGGUUAAAAAAAAUUUUCUCCUCAGCUACUGUGUUGAAAAGCAUAGCAUCUUUUGAUGGUCAUUUUGAAUCAUCAGACGGCUAAUCUAGAAUUGCAUUUUUUGACAAAGCUCUCCCGCGUACAUUUUCGUCUUCAGCUAGUCAUUUUCACUUGUCCUUUCAACAGUAACCUACCAACCGUAAAGGUAAAAAAUCUACCUACCAAAGUAUUCUUUGAUAUUGGGUUGACAAUAACCUCUCACAAAUUUGUUCGUCUCCAAUCAAAAACACUUUUUAUAAUAAGA